AACGAUCCUAGCUUGCUAGGAGGCGUCGAGCGGCGGACGGGUGAGUAAUGCAUAGGAAUCUGCCCGGUAGUGGGGGAUAACCUGAGGAAACUCAGGCUAAUACCGCAUACGUCCUACGGGAGAAAGCAGGGGCUCUUCGGACCUUGCGCUAUCGGAUGAGCUUAUGUCGGAUUAGCUGGUUGGUGAGGUAACGGCUCACCAAGGCGACGAUCCGUAGCUGGUCUGAGAGGAUGAUCAGCCACAUCGGGACUGAGACACGGCCCGAACUCCUACGGGAGGCAGCAGUGGGGAAUAUUGGACAAUGGGGGCAACCCUGAUCCAGCCAUGCCGCGUGUGUGAAGAAGGCCCUCGGGUUGUAAAGCACUUUCAGUGAGGAAGAAGGCUUGUCGGUUAAUACCCGGCAAGAAAGACAUCACUCACAGAAGAAGCACCGGCUAACUCCGUGCCAGCAGCCGCUGUAAUACGGAGGGUGCGAGCGUUAAUCGGAAUUACUGGGCGUAAAGCGUGCUUAGGCGGCUUGAUAAGCCGGUUGUGAAAGCCCCGGGUUCAACCUGGGUA
rnacentral:rRNA from 1 species